rnacentral:rRNA from 1 species
AAUAGAUACCCUGGUAGUCCACGCCGUAAACGAUGAGUGCUAAGUGUUAGGGGGUUUCCGCCCCUUAGUGCUGCAGCUAACGCAUUAAGCACUCCGCCUGGGGAGUACGGUCGCAAGACUGAAACUCAAAGGAAUUGACGGGGGCCCGCACAAGCGGUGGAGCAUGUGGUUUAAUUCGAAGCAACGCGAAGAACCUUACCAGGUCUUGACAUCCCACUGACCGCUAUGGAGACAUAGUUUUCCCUUCGGGGACAGUGGUGACAGGUGGUGCAUGGUUGUCGUCAGCUCGUGUCGUGAGAUGUUGGGUUAAGUCCCGCAACGAGCGCAACCCUUGAUCUUAGUUGCCAUCAUUUAGUUGGGCACUCUAAGGUGACUGCCGGUGACAAACCGGAGGAAGGUGGGGAUGACGUCAAAUCAUCAUGCCCCUUAUGACCUGGGCUACACACGUGCUACAAUGGACGGUACAAACGGUUGCCAACCCGCGAGGGGGAGCUAAUCCGAUAAAAUCGUUCUCAGUUCGGAUUGUAGGCUGCAACUCGCCUA